AUUGAACGCUGGCGGCAGGCUUAACACAUGCAAGUCGAACGAGUGGCGGACGGGUGCGUAAUGUCUGGGCAACUGCCCGAUGGAGGGGGAUAACUACUGGAAACAGUAGCUAAUACCGCCUACCCUCGGAUGUGCCCAGAGGGGAUUAGCUAGUAGGUGGGGUAACGGCUCACCUAGGCGACGAUCCCUAGCUGGUCUGCGAGGAGGACCAGCCACACUGGAACUGAGACAGGGUCCAGAGUCCAACGUGGGGCAGCGGUGGGGAAUAUUGCGCAAUGGGGGAAACCCGGAUGCAGCACCGCCGCGUGCGGGAUGACGGCCUUCUGGUUGUAAACCGCUUUCAGCCAUGACGCGGUAGUGGCAGAAGAAGCACCGGCUAACUACGUGCCAGCAGCCGCUGUAAUAC
rnacentral:rRNA from 1 species